rnacentral:rRNA from 1 species
CAAUAGCGUAUAUUAAAGUUGUUGCAGUUAAAAAGCUCGUAGUUGGAUUUCUGGUCGGAAGCUCCUGUCCUCUGAUGAGCGUACAAGUGCGUCCUACCAUCCUUCUGUUAACCUUUAAGGCUUUCGCGGCUUUCUAGGGGCUCAGAUAUUUUACCUUGAGAAAAUUAGAGUGUUUCAGGCAGGCUAGCGCCGGAAUACAUUAGCAUGGAAUAAUGGAAUAGGACUUUUGCCUCUUCUGUUGGUCAUGAGGCUCGAGUAAUGAUUAAUAGGGAUAGUUGGGGGCAUUAGUACCUAACUGUCAGAGGUGAAAUUCUCGGAUUUGUUAAAGACUAACUUAUGCGAAAGCAUUUGCCAAGGAUGUUUUCAUUA